rnacentral:rRNA from 1 species
GACGAACGCUGGCGGCAUGCCUAAUACAUGCAAGUCGAACGCAGUUGCGAACGGGUGAGUAACGCGUAGGUAACUGCCUCAUAGCGGGGGAUAACUAUUUGAAACGAUAGCUAAUACCGCAUACUGUUAGCUGGACCUGCGUUGUAUUAGCUAGUUGGUGAGGUAAAGGCUCACCAAGGCGACGAGACAUAGCCGGCCUGGGAGGGUGAGCGGCCACACUGGGACGGAGGAACGGCUCAGAACUCUAAGGGGAGGAGGAGGAGGGAAUCUUUGGAAAAGGACGGAAGUCUGAACGAGCAAAGGCGCGUGAGUGAAGAAGGUUCUUGGAUCGGAAAGCUCUGUUGUUAGAGAAGCGUUAACUAAACAGAAAGGAACGGCUAACUACGUGCCAGCAGCCGCGGUAAUAC